AAUAUUGCGCAAUGGGGGAAACCCUGACGCAGCAACGCCGCGUGAGCGACGAAGGCCNNNGGGUCNUCAAGUUCUGUCUAGAGNGAUNAAAACUGACUGUACCUCCGGAGGAAGCCCCGGCUAACUACGUGCCAGCAGCCGCGGUCAUACGUAGGGGGCAAGCGUUGUCCGGAUUUACUGGGCGUAAAGGGCGCGUAGGCGGUAGUUUAAGUCAGAUGUGAAAGUCCAGGGCUCAACCGUGGAAUUGCAUUUGAAACUGAAUUACUUGAGUGCAGGAGAGGAGAGCGGAAUUCCUAGUGUAGCGGUGAAAUGCGUAGAUAUUAGGAAGAACACCAGUGGCGAAGGCGGCUCUCUGGACUGUAACUGACGCUGAGGCGCGAAAGCGUGGGGAGCGAAC
rnacentral:rRNA from 1 species